UCCGAACUGGUGUAUCGGUAACAUAUCCGCCUCUCAUGAUCAUUGAUCAGAACCCGCGGUUGCGCGGGGUUCGACUCCCCGGUUCGGAA
rnacentral:tRNA from 5 species